rnacentral:lncRNA from 1 species
UAAACCAUCAACAAAAGCUAAGGAGAUGCAUGGACAAAACACAUGUCGUGGAAGGGGCAUAGGUCGUGGGAAACGAGGUGGUCGUGGCUAAUUGUCUCCAAUAGCCUAGCCACUAAGCCAAUCGAAGCGGAUGUUUCGAUUGUAGUUGUGCAUUUAAUGUACCCUUUCUUUAUACUUUUUGUAGGUUUUGAAUAACUGCAUGACUUUAUUGUUAUGACAUUAAGUAGUUUUUUAAUAAAUAAGAUUUUUAAGAAGAAAAAAAAGU